UACGUAGGUGGCAAGCGUUGUCCGGAAUUAUUGGGCGUAAAGCGCGCGCAGGUGGUUCCUUAAGUCUGAUGUGAAAGCCCACGGCUCAACCGUGGAGGGUCAUUGGAAACUGGGGAACUUGAGUGCAGAAGAGGAAAGUGGAAUUCCAAGUGUAGCGGUGAAAUGCGUAGAGAUUUGGAGGAACACCAGUGGCGAAGGCGACUUUCUGGUCUGUAACUGACACUGAGGCGCGAAAGCGUGGGAGCAAACAGGAUUAGAAACCCCGAGUACGU
rnacentral:rRNA from 1 species